rnacentral:rRNA from 1 species
GGUGAACUGAAACAUCUCAGUAGCUGCAGGAAGAGAAAACAAAUGUGAUUCCCAUAGUAGCGGCGAGCGAAAUGGGAAGAGGCCAAACGAUCAUGCUUGCAUGAUCGGGUUGUAGGACUCAAGAAUGGACGAUUGUUGCUAGUUGAACACGUUGGAGAGCGUGGCCAAAGAAGGUGACAGCCCUGUAGGCGAAAACAACAUGAACCAAUGAGGAUCCUGAGUACGGCGGAACACGAGAAAUUCCGUCGGAAUCAGCCGGGACCAUCCGGCAAGCCUA